rnacentral:rRNA from 1 species
CUGCAGAUGGAUCAUUUCGAUGAAAACCUUUUUUUCUGAGGUGUGGCUCGCACCUGUCUAACUAAACUUGAGCUACCUUUUUUCAACACGGUUGCAUCGGUUGGCCUGUCUAGUAGUGCUUCAAGCGCUAGGACGACAGGUCGACACUUUUACACAAACACUUUUGAUAAUCUAGGAUUUGAAUGAAAGUUCAUUUUUAUGAUGGAUCCGACUGGUAAUGCGGUCGUCUAAAUCUAAAAAACAACUUUUGGCAACGGAUCUCUUGGUUCUCCCAUCGAUGAAGAACGCAGCGAAUUGCGAUAAGUAAUGUGAAUUGCAGAAGUGAAUCAUCGAAUCUUUGAACGCACCUUGCGCUCCCUGCAGAUCUAAUCUGGGGAGCAUGCCUGUUUGAGGGCCGCGAAUUGUUUCGAACGACAACUUUUUUUCACGAAAAGUGGUCGGAUCGGUAUUGAGGGUUUUUGCCAUUUACCAUGGCUCCCUCGAAAUGCAUUAGCGCAUCCAUUUGAUAGGCAAGACGGACGAAAGCUCAUCUUUCGCUCUCUCUUCCCUGCCGGGUUUUGAUAAUAUCAGGACUUCGGAGAGGUUGAGUUGGGUACGAGCUGGACGCAACGACUUGCUGUUUGGAGUGCUUCUGAACCCCGCCCAUACUUUUGUUUCGACAGAAGAAGGGAUUUUUUCAAUUCAUCGGCCUCAGAUUGGUAGGACUACCCGCUGAACUUAAGCAUAUCAAUAAGCGGAGGAAAAGAAACUAACAAGGAUUCCCCUAGUAACGGCGAGUGAAGAGGGAAGAGCCCAAGAUUGAAAGCUGGCGUCUUCGGCGUCCGCAUUGUAAUCUCAAGAAGUGUUUUCCGCUUCGGACCAUGCCUAAGUCCCUUGGAAAAGGGCAUCAUAGAGGGUGAUAAUCCCGUACAUGGCAUGGAGCGCCCGAAGCUUUGUGAUACGCUUUCUAAGAGUCGAGUUGUUUGGGAAUGCAGCUCAAAAUGGGUGGUAAAUGCCAUCUAAGGCUAAAUAUUGGGGAGAG